GGCCCGGUAGCUCAGUUGGUAGAGCAGUGGAUUGAAAAUCCGCGUGUCGGUGGUUCGAUUCCGCCCCAGGCCACCA
rnacentral:tRNA from 1 species